UUGUGUCUGCAGGGUUUCCUGCUUCUCACCAGCCCCACUUCUACUGAUGCAGCUGCUCCGAGCAGAAACCAUCGAUAUUGUCCUAAGAGACGAAGGCCACCACAGACGACAACGAAACACCCCUGUUUUGGGAAACGAGGUUGCAGAGGUGGUCUUGACGUGUAGCUUCUUGAGGAGUCUACUGGUACAAUCAGCCACCGCCUUCACACCAUGAGUGCUCCACAUCUCACUGCUCAUAUAAAUGUUUGCAGAUGCAAACAUGUUGAAUAUAUUAUGUAUUUUCAGUAUGAUCUUCAUUGGCCAAAACUGUUUAAAAUUGUUUGAUCUAAACAAUAACUACAUGACCCGAACACUCUACUGCUCAUUGCUUGUACGGUUUCAACCCAAGGACAAAUCAAAUCAUUCAAAGAAAAUGAUGAGCAUAUCAACUCCAACCAGAACAUAAAAUAAUCUGCCACUCAUUACACUGGGAAGAAGAAGUAAGCUUGUCUAACAGUGCUCAUGAAUGUGCACUAAUUUAUUAUGGUCAUGGUACAGGGUCUGUAUGAAUCUAAUACUGGCAAUGUGACUAUUUCUGCUAAUGUGGAGAUUAAAAGAGUAAGAAAAUUAAUAUCUGCAAAUGCAAUUUUUUUUGCAAACAUGUUAUUGCAAACUGUUUAAUAUGCAUAAAACAAAAUGUAUAAAAGAUACAGUGAUUAAGCUCACAAAUGUCAACUUUCACCAUUCAAAAAAAGUUAUUUUAAGAGCUGCAUACUGUAUUUUGACCACAAGAUAGCACCAGUUAACCCAGUUUUACUGCAAUGGUUCACUUUCUGUGAUUUGUUGCAAACAAAGUAAAGUGAAUGAUACAAACAUCCCCAAGCUUCCAUUAUUACACUGUGCAUGCAGUUACAUGAAUGUCUAUCUAACAUCGACAGACAGAAGAAUUAAUUCUAUAAACAAUAGUAGGAAUUUAUUUUGGCAGCACUGACAGAAAAUAUCCCUCAGUUCCCUACAUUCACACCGGGAGCUGACCAGACUUACUGGGAGCCUUUCUUCACCUAAUAAACAACCAAGCAGCUUAUUGCAACCUAUUGUUACAUUUUCUUGUCAGGCAACCACUAGGUCUGCUUAACUGUUGAAUCCAAACUAUUGUAUGGUCUGUCCAUAACCUCCAGUGGCAUCAGAAGAAGAAGUCAGGCUUUGGUUUCCACAAUUAUCCUGCUAUUCCAAAUCUAAAGUGAUACUACAAACAACAAAAGAAACACAAACUGCCAGGUCAUGAACACAGGUUUGACAUAAUAGGCUCAAACAUGCAGCUGACAGGUGUAACUGAGAUGAAAUGAACCCACCAGACAUAAAGUAAAAAACAAUGCCAUUCAGCAUCUUGUAAUCUGUAGCCUCAUCUGGUACAAGCUGAUUUACCCAGGCUACAUACAAAGCCAGUGUGUGUAAAUAAAUGAUCUUCAUUAACAUAGAGCAUCUUCAGUGAUUUCAUUCAUCACUAAUGUCGACGGUCAUUCAGAAGCUACAGCAGGUCUCUGUAUUUGUUUAGUUUUUGGGGAAGCCCAUACAUGCUGAGCUGGAUACCCCAGAGCUUUCAGAAAGCCUGAUGUGAAUGCUAAUUAUGAUAACUGAUAUGACAUGCAUGUGGCACAAUCCACAAAACCGGCUCCUCAUUUGGGAUAUAGUGUUCUACCCUAGAAAAUCAUUUAUAAUCUGGUCUAAGCAGAAAUGUAUUACUGCCACAUAACAUAUGUUUUAGGUCAAGGCACACUAAUGUAAAAAUACUGUCACUCUUGAAGACAAGCCAGUUCAGUCUCAGCACUUUCAUUCUGUUCCACUCAACAAACUAAAGUCUCCCUCUUCUUUGUGGCUUUGUCGCUACUUUUCCUUUUCUUGUGAUUAAAACAUGAACCCGGGGGCGGGGUCUAACUGGUUUGCGUUUGAAGUGGACACUAUUUUUACAGAGGAGCAGGAAAUGUCCCAGUAGGAGCUGAAAUUGAAGGAAACACCGAUAUUCAUCAAAUAAAUAGAGUCAAGAUUAAAUCACACUUGAUGUUACAAAAUUUCAGUCUGCAGAUUUGUGCAUGCAUGCGUGUGUAGAUGGGUUAUUAUACUGCUGCAUACACCCUUUUAAUUGCUUCUCAUUACGGCUGGUUUGUUGGCAGUAAGUAUAUAAAGACCUG